UUAAACAAGUCACUACACAUAUUACACCAUACAACUAUUAUAUAUAUCUAAUUUCGAAAAUACACCACCACAAAAUUACUAAUUUGACCUUUUCAUAGGUCAUAACUGACGACAUCAAAAUUCCAAUGGCAGGGUAUAUAUAUAUUAAUAUGAAAUAUAUUAAACAAUUAAUUAUAAUUUACCAUCAUUACUUUAGUCAACACAAGGGAAGAGGAUCCUCUCCUGAGCUUAGAAUGAGAAUCCUUAUGACCAGUUCAUCUAGACCGUUCAAAUUUAAUCCAACGGUUUCAAACAAGAAGAUUCUCUAAAAAUUAUAAUAAUUACAACCGUUAAAUUAAAUUUAAACGGCUCAGAUGAGCUGGUCAGAAGGAUUCUCAUCCUCUUCCCUGCACAAGGAUCUCCAAUUGCACUGUUCAACUGAACAGUGAUUUGGGGUGGAUUUCAGUCUAUUUACAAAAUUGCCACCGCCUCUUCCUUUUGAAAUAUUUACGUCUAUGCCACUGGGUUAAUUUCCUUACAUUUACGGUUUUGCCAUCGGCUUAGAAACCGGUUUUGAGCCUUUGGGCUGCAUCUGGGGUUUGGCUUUUGCUUUUGAAUGAGGAUCCUCUUUGUGGGGAUCCGAAGAUUCUGAAUCAUGUCUAUUCAUCGUAAAUCGUACAAUUAUAAAUUAUUUAAAAUUGAACACAAACAGAGAAAUUGACUGAAUAACUGACGGAGGUCUGACAAUGCAACAAAUUUGCAAAAUGAAGUAUGACAUUAUAAUUUUUAAAACAUAAGGUAUAAGAUUGUGGUUCGACUGAUAGGUAAGGUAAUUUUCUGUAAUUUAUUUUAAUUUUUGUGUCUCUAAAUUCUUUUUUGUCCUUUGCUCAUCAGGAAUCCAAAUUUAGGCUCCUUUUUCAGUUUAUUGUUUUUUAUUCACUGCCCAUUCCUUUAUUAAAAUUGUUACAGAUAUCAUUUUCCUUCAUUAAAUUGUCAUAGAUAUUUUUAGGCUGUAGUUCACUGUUAGGGUCGGGCUUCCGUCUUUGUAAAUUAGAGGGUUGCACUGUGUUCGUUUCUGUGUUUCUUCAUAGUUUGCUGUUGUUUGCUUCUCAGGAAACUGAAUUCAGGUUCCUUUUCCACUUCACAUCAUUUGAAUAUCCCUGUGUUGCAUGGUUGUUUUUCCAUUUCUUGGUUGCUUUUGUAUUUUUAUAAUGUACUACUUCAUUUGAUUCUUGACAUGUGCAUGUAGAUCAAACACAAGCAUACAGAUCAAAGCGUGCAUUCACAAGGCAGGCACCAAAGAUAUCAUUACUGAGUUGUGUUUGGUGAUGACACAGAAGAUGAAACCGCAGUUGAGGAUACAGUAAUUUCCCUUGACAAUGUCUGUGGAAUCAAAUUUACCAAUUACUAAAGCAGUGAUUUCACUGAGAGUGCAUUUGGGGUCCUACAAUUCCUGUGUUGAGCUUCCAGUGCACAGUUGAGAGACAAGGAAGUGUGAAGAGAUCAAAGUUUAGGAUUUUUGUUUGGCCACCAUUGGCGAAGUGAAAGUGAGGCCAAAAGAGAAGAGUCGGUUGAGAGAAAAAGAAGACUCACAGUGAGGCCAAUUUCAUUUGUGAUGUAUCUCGAAUGAGGGUGGGUUCAAAAAAUCGAAAACUGAAAAAAACCGGACCCAGCCGGCUGCCGACAAUUUCUUCCAUUUUUUUGCCUGAUUUUUACAUUUCUUCUACUUUUUGCCUAAUUUUACAUUUUCAAGGGAACCCGUUUCAAUUCUUCGUUGAAACUCUAUUCCCACGGCCACAAAGGUAAAUGAUUUGCUCUCUUUGUUAGACAACUCUUGCCUUCAAUUGGUUCAAGUUUUUGUAACACUGAUCUAACUAUAUAUAUAUAUAUAUAUGUGACCUGAAAAUUAACUACAUGAUUUGGCUCUAAUUAUCUGGAAGUAUAUAUUUUCGUUUAGGGUUUUGAUUUCUCGAUGCCUUGCCAAUUUCUUGUAGUUAUUAGAAUAACUAAUCUGUGUUUUUGAUUGUUCUAAUUUAUUGUGGUAGACCCAAAGCCUAUUCUGCGCAAGAGAAGAUCAUGCAAGCUUUGUUUUCUGGAAUUUUUUUUUGCUAUUGAAGAAGAAGAAGAGAAAAGAAAAACCAAAUCGGCCAGAAACCGUACCGAAAAAAACUGAACCAAACCAAAAUUUCGGUUUCGGUUUUGGUUUUAGUAAAAAAUUGAACUGUUUCGAACCGAACCCAGCCCUAAUCUCGAAUGCUGUUUGUUAUUCCUUUAUUUUUUUUGGGUAUUCUUUUAAAGCUACAGUGUUUGUUAACAACUGUUUCCAUUUCUAUAUUCCCUAAACCCUCUCUGGAAAUUAAUUAAAAUGAUUUCUGGUACAUGCACGAUAUGUUACAAUUGUUCUAUGUGAAAUCAUAUCUUUUACUCCCAAAAUUGGGAUUUAUUAGUUCAUCCAAGUAUUUGUAAGUUGGUCUGAAAAAUCUCUUUUACAUUAAGCACGUCUUUAGAUUUUCAGUCAAAUGGGACAUCGAAAGUCAAAUGUUGUUCGUUAUUUCUUUAUUUUUUUGUUGUAUUCUUUUGAAGAUCUCCAUAUUGAUUGCUGCUUCUGUUUCUUAUACAAACACAACAUAUUUUGCGAUCACAACUUUUGUGAUCAGAAACGUUUAAGUUCAUCCAGUUAAUUGUACAAUGACUUUUGAUGUCAGCUAAAUUGAAUGUAAAUGAAAACUAAGCUGCUGAUCCUACCAGCUUAGUUCAACCAUCUCUUGCUUAUUUAAAUUAUUUGAAGAUGCCUAUGUUGAUUGGUGAUUUUUGGUGAUUACCUUUCUUUAUACAAGUUCUCUUCACAAUGAAACUUAUAUUAUAGUUUCACCUUUACUUGCUUUCGCACGGGGGGAGGUGUCUGGGCAUGUAAUUACUCGCUAAUUUUUUUAUCCUUAUCUUCUAUAUUAAUAUCACAAAUUUUUUUUUAUAGAAAAACUAAUGAAAAUAGUUUGAAAAUUUUGGGUUUUAAUGAUAAGGACAAAAUAAAAGGUAAAGUGAAUAGUACUAGGAUUGAUUUUUUAGUGUAAAAACGUGGUUUUUCAUUAAAGUGAACAGUACCAGGAGUUUUUAGUUAAAGUUUUUUUUUUUUUUUUUUUUGGGUGCUCAACAAGUGGUUUGGCAGAUAAUAGAUAGGAGUAUGUUAUCCACACACCUUAUUUUACUUCUCACACACCUUUUGAUAAUUUUUUCCCGUUGAUUUUCUUCAAUUCAUCCGAUUUGACGGCUAAAAAUUAAAAGGAUGUGUGAGAAGUAAAAUAGGAUGUGUGGAUAUCACACCACAAUAGAUAAAGGUUUUAAUGCAUUCGUUUAAUGUUAUUGCAGAUCCGCUACAUUCUUCAAGAAGUUCGGUUUACAGAACCGGAGCCAUUUAAGCACAAGGUGUCCCAGUUUAUAGCUGAGUUUGGUUUUUUGAAAAUUUAGGUUUGGAUGAGACAAUGAUGAUGAGCAAAGGAGAAGUGCCAGACUUGCAGUAGGCCUUAAAAGUGUAAGUCAUCUUUCGCAUCUCGGUUAUUGUUUAGGUGAGGUGUUCUAUUUACAUGCAAGUCUUUGAGUCUUGAAUAUUUUAGGCAUUGUGUCAGUAAGUCGGGAUGGUUGUAAAGCAAUGCAUAUAGCGUUGAUGCCUUUUACUUUACAAACGUAUUUGUUUUGUUGGAAUUAAACUUGCAAUAUACAGAUUUAUGCCAAGGAAAAGUCAGGACCUUUGGAGCCUGUUAUUCUUUGUUAGAGUUUGUGUUACAAAAUUAGGGAGCUAUCAUGUCCAUUUAUGCUUCUAUUUAGUAAGAUUAGGGAUAAAGAUUUGUAGGGUGUUUUCUAAGUUGUUUUGGAGCUGCAUUCUUUUCUUCUAAGACCACAUUAGGAAGCAUUUGUUCAAUUGAUGCCUUAUGGAAAAUUUUCGUUAUUUAAUCCUCCUUUUGUUUUAGUUUUGUGUUAGCGCAUGGCGUAUUUUGCUUUGCUUGCUGGUUAUUGGAUGUGCUGUUGAGCAUCUUUAUGUGGAACUGAUUCGUAGCUAUUACGGAUUAUAGCAGCACUUUGUUUUGAUUUGUAAACAAACUACAAACUUUAUCUUUGUCAUGGGUUGCAGUAUAACAUUUAACGAUUGAAUUUGUAAAACCAUUUGGCAAUCUUUUUAGAAACUUACUAUUCUUGGCAGAUGCUCAA